UGAGCAAUCUGCCCUUCUCAUCGGAAUAAGCGUUGGAAACGACGUCUAAUGCCGAAUACGACCUCCUUUCGCAUGAUCGGAGGUGGAAAGCUCCGGCGGAGAAGGAUGAGCUCGCGGCCUAUCAGCUAGUUGGUGUGGGUAAUGGCCCACAAGGCGACGACGGGUAGCCGGCCUGAGAGGGUGACCGGCCACACGUGGGACUGAGACACGGCCCAGACCUCCGUACGGGAGCAG
rnacentral:rRNA from 1 species